rnacentral:misc_RNA from 1 species
UCCGGCUUAUCACCGGCAGUUUCCUUAGAGUUCCCAGCUUAACCUGUUGGCAACUAAGGAUGAGGGUUGCGCUCGUUGCGGGACUUAACCCAACAUCUCACGACACGAGCUGACGACAGCCAUGCAGCACCUGUGUGGUAGCCAGCCGAACUGAAGAGUUGCGUUUCUGCGACUCAUACUACCCAUGUCAAGGCCUGGUAAGGUUCUUCGCGUUGCCUCGAAUUAAACCACAUGCUCCACCGCUUGUGCGGGUCCCCGUCAAUUCCUUUGAGUUUUAAUCUUGCGACCGUACUCCCCAGGCGGGAUGCUUAACGCGUUAGCUGCGCCACUGAGGACUACGUCCCCAACGGCUAGCAUCCAUCGUUUACAGCGUGGACUAC